AACAAAUGCCCUGCUUCCAGGAAAAGCCUCUAAGCAUCAGGUAACAUCAAAUCGUACCCCAAACCGACACAGGUGGUCAGGUAGAGAAUACCAAGGCGCUUGAGAGAACUCGGGUGAAGGAACUAGGCAAAAUGGUGCCGUAACUUCGGGAGAAGGCACGCUGAUAUGUAGGUGAAGUCCCUCGCGGAUGGAGCUGAAAUCAGUCGAAGAUACCAGCUGGCUGCAACUGUUUAUUAAAAACACAGCACUGUGCAAACACGAAAGUGGACGUAUACGGUGUGACGCCUGCCCGGUGCCGGAAGGUUAAUUGAUGGGGUCAGCGCAAGCGAAGCUCUUGAUCGAAGCCCCGGUAAACGGCGGCCGUAACUAUAACGGUCCUAAGGUAGCGAAAUUCCUUGUCGGGUAAGUUCCGACCUGCACGAAUGGCGUAAUGAUGGCCAGGCUGUCUCCACCCGAGACUCAGUGAAAUUGAACUCGCUGUGAAGAUGCAGUGUACCCGCGGCAAGACGGAAAGACCCCGUGAACCUUUACUAUAGCUUGACACUGAACAUUGAGCCUUGAUGUGUAGGAUAGGUGGGAGGCUUUGAAGUGUGGACGCCAGUCUGCAUGGAGCCGACCUUGAAAUACCACCCUUUAAUGUUUGAUGUUCUAACGUGGACCCGUGAUCCGGGUUGCGGACAGUGUCUGGUGGGUAGUUUGACUGGGGCGGUCUCCUCCUAAAGAGUAACGGAGGAGCACGAAGGUUGGCUAAUCCUGGUCGGACAUCAGGAGGUUAGUGCAAUGGCAUAAGCCAGCUUGACUGCGAGCGUGACGGCGCGAGCAGGUGCGAAAGCAGGUCAUAGUGAUCCGGUGGUUCUGAAUGGAAGGGCCAUCGCUCAACGGAUAAAAGGUACUCCGGGGAUAACAGGCUGAUACCGCCCAAGAGUUCAUAUCGACGGCGGUGUUUGGCACCUCGAUGUCGGCUCAUCACAUCCUGGGGCUGAAGUAGGUCCCAAGGGUAUGGCUGUUCGCCAUUUAAAGUGGUACGCGAGCUGGGUUUAGAACGUCGUGAGACAGUUCGGUCCCUAUCUGCCGUGGGCGCUGGAGAACUGAGGGGGGCUGCUCCUAGUACGAGAGGACCGGAGUGGACGCAUCACUGGUGUUCGGGUUGUCAUGCCAAUGGCACUGCCCGGUAGCUAAAUGCGGAAGAGAUAAGUGCUGAAAGCAUCUAAGCACGAAACUUGCCCCGAGAUGAGUUCUCCCUGACCCUUUAAGGGUCCUGAAGGAACGUUGAAGACGACGACGUUGAUAGGCCGGGUGUGUAAGCGCAGCGAUGCGUUGAGCUAACCGGUACUAAUGAACCGUGAGGCUUAACCUUACAACGCCGAAGGUGUUU
rnacentral:rRNA from 1 species